CCAGGGGUGAGCUGUUGGGUAGCUCGCUGCUGGCGCUCACCGCGCAUGUGCACGGCUCUCACUCUCGCUCUUGUUCCUUCUAUCAACCCCUGUGCACUAUAUUAGGAUAAGAGAGAAGCGUGUCGCUCUAGGGAUUAGCGUAGUAGCUGUGGGUCCAUCCCUCGGCGAAAGGUUAAUCUCUGAUCGGCGGCGCGUGGUACCUCGAAUCCUUCUUAUCACAAACCACUAUACAUGUCUUGUCAGAAUGUUCAGUCCCUCGUUGGACGCUAAAUGAAAUACAACUUUCAACAACGGAUCUCUUGGCUCUCGCAUCGAUGAAGAACGCAGCGAAAUGCGAUAAGUAAUGUGAAUUGCAGAAUUCAGUGAAUCAUCGAAUCUUUGAACGCACCUUGCGCCCUUUGGUAUUCCGAAGGGCACGCCUGUUUGAGUGUCAUGUUACUCUCAAUCUAUCAGCUUUUGUUGAUGGAUUGGAUUUGGGAGUCUGCUGGCCCCAUCUGGGUCGGCUCUCCUUGAAUGCAUGAGUGAGCAUCUGGCUCGCGUUGCUGGUGUGAUAGUCUGUUCAUCAUUGGCGACGCUUGCCUAACGGGCUUGCUUUCGAACCGUCUUCUCAACGGAGACAACUCUUUGACAUAUUGACCUCAAAUCAGG
rnacentral:rRNA from 1 species